AUUGAACGCUGGCGGCAGGCUCAACACAUGCAAGUCGAGCGGAGAUGAGGUGCUUGCACCUUAUCUUAGCGGCGGACGGGUGAGUAAUGCUUAGGAAUCUGCCUAUUAGUGGGGGACAACAUUCCGAAAGGAAUGCUAAUACCGCAUACGCCCUACGGGGUAAAGCAGGGGAUCUUCGGACCUUGCGCUAAUAGAUGAGCCUAAGUCGGACUAGCUAGCUGGUGGGGUAAAGGCCGACCAAGGCGACGAUCUGUAGCGGGUCUGAGAGGAUGAUCAGCCACACUGGGAAUGGGACACGGCCCAGACUCCUACGGGAGGCAGCAGUGGGGAAUAUUGGAAAAUGGGCGGAAGCCUGAUCCAGCCAUGCCGCGUGUGUGAAGAAGGCCUUUUGGUUGUAAAGCACUUUAAGCGAGGAGGAGGCUACCUGGAUUAAUACUCUAGGAUAGUGGACGUUACUCGCAGAAUAAGCACCGGCUAACUCUGUGCCAGCCGCCGCUGUAACAC
rnacentral:rRNA from 1 species